GCCAACCCUCUAGCCGCAACUCUCCCACUAAAAGCAUUAAUCUUUUUCCAAAUCAUAAAACAUUUUACCAAUUUAGUAGAGGCGAUAAAAAAAUUCUUUAGAGCUAUAACAAUAGUACCGUAAGGGAAAGAUGAAAUAAAAUUGAAAUAACUUUUAAGCACGAAAAAGUAGAGCUCCGCCCUCGUACCUUUUGCAUCAUGGUUUAACUAGUCCAACUAGGCAAAAAGAUUUUUAGUCUUUCUCCCCGAAUCUAGGUGAGCUAUUUUAAGACAGCUUUAUGAGCCAACCCGUCUCUGUUGCAAAAGAGUGGGAAGAUCUUAAAAUAGCGGUGACAGACCAAACGAACCUAGUGAUAGCUGGUUGCUUUCUAAAAGGAUUUAAGUCCAACUUAAAGUAAUUAUAUACAUUAAAAUCUUCACUUUAAAGUAACUCAAAUAAGGUUCAGCCUAUUUGAAGCAGGAUACAACCUCCACCACCGGGUUACAUAUUUUUCUUAAAGAUUAAGUAGGCCUAAAAGCAGCCAUCUUAAAUAAAAGCGUCAAAGCUUACUCUUUUAUCUCUUCUAAUUCCAAAACUAUUUCUCAACCCCUCAUUACCAAAAAGCAACUCUAUAUCUUUAUAGAAAAUUUUAUGUUAAAACUAGUAACAAGAAGCAACCCUUCUCUUAAAUGUGCCUGUUCAUCAGAAAGGAUCCCCCACUGAUAAUUAACGUCCCUAAAAUCUAAGUAAAAACACUUCAAGAAACCCCUACUCCUAAUUACGUUAACCUAACACAAGAGCAUUAAAAGAAAGAUUUAAAGAUAAAGAAGGAACUCGGCAAACAUUAGCUUCGCCUGUUUACCAAAAACAUCGCCUCCUGAUAAACCAUAAGAGGUCCAGCCUGCCCAGUGACAUUGUUCAACGGCCGCGGUAUCCUAACCGUGCGAAGGUAGCGUAAUCACUUGUCCUUUAAAUGGGGACUAGUAUGAACGGCUUCACGAAUGCUAUACUGUCUCCUUUUUCUAAUCAGUUAAACUAAUCUUCCCGUGAAGAAGCGGGAAUACUCCUAUAAGACGAGAAGACCCUAUGGAGCUUUAAGCAAUUAAGACACCUGAACCAAUUUUUCCAAAUUUUAUAAAACCUAUCACCCUGUCUUUAGUUUUAGGUUGGGGCGACCAAGGAGAAAAAAUUAUCCUCCACGCAGAAAGAAAUAUUUCUUAGCAAAAAGCUACACCUUAAUGCAUCAAAACAUUGACCUAUAUUGACCCAUUAUUUGAUCAACGAACCAAGUUACCCUAGGGAUAACAGCGCAAUCCACUUUAAGAGCCCCUAUCGACAAGUGGGUUUACGACCUCGAUGUUGGAUCAGGGUAUCCUAGUGGUGCAGCCGCUACUAAUGGUUCGUUUGUUCAACGAUUAAAACCCUACGUGAUCUGAGUUCAGACCGGAGUAAUCCAGGUCAGUUUCUAUCUAUAAAGAACUUUUUCUAGUACGAAAGGACCGAAAAAAUAUGGCCAAUGCCAACCACAAGCCAUUAAUUCUUAAUUUAUGUUUUAAUCUUAAUAAUCAAGAAUCUCUUACCCCCCUUAAGACAAAAAUUC
rnacentral:rRNA from 1 species